rnacentral:rRNA from 1 species
AGUGAACGCUGGCGGUAGGCCUAACACAUGCAAGUCGAACGGCAGCACAGUAAGAGCUUGCUCUUACGGGUGGCGAGUGGCGGACGGGUGAGGAAUACAUCGGAAUCUACUUUUUCGUGGGGGAUAACGUAGGGAAACUUACGCUAAUACCGCAUACGACCUACGGGUGAAAGCAGGGGAUCUUCGGACCUUGCGCGAUUGAAUGAGCCGAUGUCGGAUUAGCUAGUUGGCGGGGUAAAGGCCCACCAAGGCGACGAUCCGUAGCUGGUCUGAGAGGAUGAUCACCCACACUGGAACUGAGACACGGUCCAGACUCCUACGGGAGGCAGCAGUGGGGAAUAUUGGACAAUGGGCGCAAGCCUGAUCCAGCCAUACCGCGUGGGUGAAGAAGGCCUUCGGGUUGUAAAGCCCUUUUGUUGGGAAAGAAAAGCAGCAGGUUAAUCCCCCGCUGUUCUGCCGUUACCCAAAGAAUAAGCACCGGCUAACUUCGUG